rnacentral:rRNA from 1 species
UACGACUACAUAUCAGGCAUAUCAAUAAGCGGAGGAAAAGACCAUCCGCAAAUUCAUCGCCGGCUCAUAAGUCAAAUGCGGGAGCAGGAAGCCUUUCUCCUGCAUUUUCUGUCCAAUGGCGGAAAGCCGCCAUUGAAUUUCUAAUGGUUCUAUCAUGCAAUCUUCCCGGCGGUGUCGUACAAUGAUGAUGUACAUCAGGAAAGGAUGGAGGCAAACGAAUCAUGGUAGGCGUUGGCAUUUACGUAAAGAACAGUCCGGCUGCCGUCGCGCUGUAUCAGGCAGCCUUUGAGGCGAAACUUGGCUAUCAUGUUUUCAACAAGGACGGCACCCAUUUUCAUUCCGAACUGUCCAGAGACGGCGAACCGUUUGUGUCGGUGGUGGAAGCAAAGACGAACACCUUCGCUCACGCACAUCCCAUCGAGCUGGGCGUGGAUUUUGAUUCCCGCGAGAAGCUGGAGCGGGCUUUUGCGCUUCUGUCCGAAGGCGGAAGCGUGGAAAUGGACGUCUGCGAACUGCCCUGGAGCCCCUGCGCCGCCAUCGUGAGGGACCGUUUCAGCGUGCGGUGGUUUUUGAGCCUGCCGCAGCAUCAGCCGGAGGAGGGCUGGACGCCCGAAGCCACUGAAUAAGGAGGCUGCUUUUGCGGCCCGAAACCGACAUUCCAGGCUCUCCCGUGAACGAUUGGGCGAUCAUCUGUUGAUGAUGUGCCGUACCUACGCUUAGGAUGUUGAUCUACAGAGCGAGAGU